ensembl:lncRNA pleckstrin and Sec7 domain containing 4
CGCCGCCGUCAGACCAGUCGGACGGCUUCGCCCGCCCCGCCCCGCGCCGCCGGUUCUGCCGCCGCCCUAGUCUCCGCGCCGGAAACCCAGUGCCUCCCGCGAGCCGCGCGCCAGAGCUGGACCGGCCCGGCCCCCGGCGCAGCAGCCGCCCCGCAGCCCCCAAGCCCGCGCCUGGGCUCCGGGCCAUGCGGCGCCCGGGCGGGCGGGCGGCCGGAGCAGGAGCCCCGCGGGACUCGGGUCUUGGACUGCACAGAGCCGUGAUGCAAUGUCCACAGACAGGGUAGAGACCCUGUGAGUCCAGGAAGCAGAGAAUCCUAGAUUCCAGGGUGCCCAGGGUGUGAUGCAGAAAGGCCAGGGUACAUGUGGGGUCCCGGUCGCCCCUCUGGCCAUCACUCCCUCUAAUCCACACAAUGGGCUUGUGAAGGCGGAUGUUCCUGAAGGCUCUAACGCAGCUUACGCUCAUUGGAUAAUGGGCGACGACAGACUCUGUGGCCACCCCAGACCCGUGGAAACCCUCGACAUCUGUUUGGGAGACAACCUGCAACCCCACUCGGAAGCCCACCUAGGGGAGACCUGUAGCCACCCUGAGCCUCUCGAACCUCACGGGGAGCAGACGUGGGCCUCUGACCCUCCUGAUGCUGUGAGGCCUGAUGUUUGUCCCCAGGGCUCCAGCCCAGAGCCCAUGCACCUGGGGAGCGGCUCUUCCCAGGAACGGGCAGGACAGAAAACCACCUCCCCCGGGUCUCCCAGGGACAACCAGCCUCUGGGGAGCCCAGGGCAGAGCCAGAGCACGUCCACGCAGGUGGUGUUCUGGGCAGGGAUCCUGCAGGCCCAGAUGUGCGUGCUAGACCUGGAGGAGGAGCUGGAGAAGACAGAAGGGCUCAGAGCUGAGUUGAGAUGCUGCAUUCCCACGGCCCCUGCCGACCUCCCCACUUUUCCCUCCAGCCCAGUUGGCCCCCGGAACUCGGGCCUCCUCCCCAGCCCACCCCCGGAUGCAAAUGAGGCCUCGGAGGACGAUAGCAGUGGGCCAGAAGGGGAGCCCCAGAAGCCAGCAUGGCCGAGGGAGGGCACGCUGGACUUGUCUCCUGAGUGGAGUGCCGAGGAGGAAAGCAUCUUCUUUGACAACCCGCUUUUCCUGGAGAGCCCUUGCUCGGACACUAGUGCAUCUGAAACGCACUUUUCCUGGGGCUUCUCGGACUCCUAUGUAGAUGUGAGGACUGGGUCCCAGAGCCCACAGACCCUGGAGCCUCCACCCUCAGAAGGCAGAGUGCCCUGGGAGCUGGGCGGUGAGCCGGAUUUGGGGGAGAGCACAGCAGAGUCCAGCGGGCACACCACCCCUCCAUUCCCUGUGCCCACCUACAGGCCACACUCUUUCUCCUGGGUCAUGGUGGACACCCCCGAGGGGGCUCCCGCAGCACCUUCCAGCCAGGAGGAGACUGAGAGUUCUCUGAGAGACAGCCUUGACCCUGCCUUGCCCGCAGCAUCCUGUGUGGACAAAACACUGAGCUGGGAGACAGAACAUGUGGAAUAUAACGGCAGCCCCGCCACACAUCCAGUGCAACCUUGGGUUGGGCCCAGCACCCAGGGCUGGCCAACCAAGGUCAUUCCUUCCUGGCCCACAGGGCCUCUUAGCUCCCAGGACAGAGGUGACAAGGAUACAGAGUGUGUCCAGGAGUCUGCUCCCUGCACCGUGACCCCUGGCCACCCCUGGGGGAGCCCAGCCUCUUCGCCGGAGCCCAGCAGCCCUGAGUCUGGGGUCAGAGGCCCCAACUCCCUGCCCAGCCCCGUCUCCUCCCGGGAAGGCAGCCUGCGGCUGCAGGGCCACCCCCCAGGCAGUGUUCUUCCCGAGUGGACACUAGAUGCUCCAAGCCCUUCAUUCCUGGAGACAGAUGGGGCAGAGCCAGGUUCCCUGGAAAAAGAGGAGGCAGGAGAGGCCCCAACCCAAGGGAAGGAAGUAAAGUUAAGCCCCGCCAGGACUGCGGAGGCCGGAGCCAGCCAGCCUGACGCUUGCCUGACUUCUGCAAAAACGCUUCCUGGGAGCCCUAUGCCCCAAGUGCAACCCCCAGAGGAAGGCCAGAGGCUCCCGGCUGGAGACAAGCUGGCGAAUGGCGUCAGGACUGACAAGGUGGCCUGGAACUUGGCCUCUCGCCUCUAUCACCUGGAGGGCUUCCGGAAGUCUGAAGUGGCUGCCUACCUGAGGAAGAACAAUGACUUUAGCAGGGCCGUGGCUGAGGCGUACCUGUCCUUCUUCCAGUUCGGAGGCCAGAGCCUGGACCGUGCACUCCGGGGCUUCCUCCAGGCCCUGGUGCUCAGUGGGGAGACCCAGGAACGAGAGCGGAUCCUCUACCAGUUCUCCAAGCGCUUCCAUCACUGCAACCCCGGGCUUUUCUCCUCAGUAGAUUGCGUGCACACCUUGACCUGCGCCAUCAUGCUCCUUAACACGGACCUGCAUGGACAGAACAUUGGGAAGAGCAUGAGCUGCCAGGAAUUCAUAACCAACCUGAAUGGCCUGCGGGACGGCGGGAACUUCCCCAAAGAACUGCUCAAGGCCCUCUACUGGUCUAUCCGAAGUGAGAAGCUCGAGUGGGCCGUGGAUGAAGAAGACACAGCCAGGCCCGAGAAGGCCCAGCCGUCUCCCCCAGCUGGCAAGAUGAGCAACCCUUUCCUCCAGCUGGCCCAGGACCCCACGGUGCCCACCUACAAGCAGGGCUUCCUGGCCCGGAAGAUGCACCAGGAUGCGGAUGGCAAGAAGACGCCAUGGGGUAAGCGUGGCUGGAAGAUGCUCCACACCUUACUUCGAGGGAUGGUCCUCUACUUCCUGAAGGGAGAGGACCACGCCCUUGAUGGGGAGAGUUUGGUGGGGCAGAUGGUGGAUGAGCCGGUGGGGGUGCACCACUCACUGGCCACCCCUGCCACCCACUACACCAAGAAGCCACAUGUCUUCCAGCUGCGCACGGCCGACUGGCGCCUCUACCUCUUCCAGGCACCCACUGCCCAGGAGAUGACUUCCUGGAUCGCGCGCAUCAAUCUAGCUGCCGCCACGCACUCAGCUCCGCCUUUCCCUGCCGCGGUGGGCUCCCAGCGCAAAUUCGUCCGUCCCAUCCUGCCCGUGGGCCCAACCCAGGGCUCCCUGGAGGAGCAGCAUCGAUCCCACGAGAACUGCCUGGACGCUGCCUCUGACGACCUGCUGGAUCUGCAGAGGAACUUACCCGAGCGGCGAGGCCGCAGCCGCGAGCUGGAAGACUACCGCUUGCGGAAGGAGUACCUGGAGUACGAGAAAACCCGCUAUGAGACCUACCUACAGCUGCUUGUGGCCCGUCUACACUGCCCGUCGGAAGACCUGGACCUGUGGGAGGAGCAGCUGGGGAGGGAGGCUGGAGGCCUGCAGGAGCCCAAGCCCAGCCUGAAGAAGUCCCACUCCAGCCCGUCGCUGCACCAGGAUGAGGCCCCCACCACGGCCAAGGUCAAGCGCAACAUCUCAGAGCGCAGAACCUACCGGAAGAUCAUCCCCAAACGGAACCGCAAUCAACUGUGAAACCAGGGUCACCUCACCAACUACCCACCGCGGCCUGGGCCUGCGGUGGAUUUGGGAUGAAACCCUAGGAAUAGCCUUAUAUCAUCGGGUCCGUGCUGAGGAUGGGGCCCUGCCUCUUCCCUGUGGAAGGAUACGCUAGUGUGGUCCCCCCUUCCUUCCCUCACUCACCACACUGGAGUUCUCCUGAUACUGUUGCCCCCACCCCGGCUGCUCCCAAGAGAGGACAGAGGUCAAAGACUUGACUCAGCUCCCACAGUUCAUCCCAUUCUACCCUCCAUCCCUCCAGAAGCCACAGAGGACACCUUUCCUGGACCUGGGGAGUUGCUCGGCUCUCUGUCUUUGAGUCAGAGGCCCUGUGAGCUCCCCCAUCCUCAGGGACAGAGACCAGGGCCGUAGAGACCUUGGCACAGACAGGUUAGGGAAGCUGCAGCACUGGGAGCGGUCUUGCUCUGGAAAUCAGGUGACUUGCUGGAAGAGGUCCUGGGAGACCCCAGAUGGGCCCUGUCCACUGCGGGGAACAGCCUUCUGGGCAGGACCAGAGACUCGGCAAGUUCAAGGGCUCAGUGAGGCUGGCUCUGGGGCCCCCUGCCUUUGUUUGGUCUUCCCUACAUCCUGCACGUAUAGGGGGCAGAUGAGAGAGGCCUUGCCUCCCAUGGCCAAUGGCUGAUCGUCAGAGUGGAACCAACGGUGGUCAGCGAGGGCUGUAAGGGGAGAGGGUGCCCAGAGUUCAGUAGAGAGCCCUGUAACAAGGGCCUUUGCCACCCCAGAGCAGGGAAGGAGGUGCUCCAGGUUUGGGGAGGAUAAGGGUAAGAGGUGGUGACGCAUGCCGUGUCCCCUGGGGGCUCUGGAGAGUUGUGAGGGGCCUUGAAGGCCUGGCUCCCUCCCCACAAACCCCUCCCCUGGAACCUCCAGGACUCACUCAGGGACCCCUUCCCUCCCUCAGCCUGCUCCCAGGGGCCCUUUCCACCCUCCCUGGGAAGCCCCCUUGUGCUCCCUUUGGCCGCAUCCCAGCUGGGCUGUUCUCCGGACACUUGAGGACCCGAGGCUCUGCCUGUGGGAAGGAGGCCGGGCCGCCAAGCAGCCACCAUUGUCUCUGUUCAGCCAAGUGUGAGAGCCGGCUGCCUGCCAAAAGGGGCCUCUCGCCACCCGCCUGCUGGCUGACGCAUGCACGGCCUCUCCAGCCUUCCUGCCGCCCUGCCCUCCUCUUCGUGCCUGUAACCAACACGGGGGCCUGCAACUCCACCAGGUGGGGCUGGCACUUGAGGGUCACCAACAAGUGUCUGUCCAUGGCUGGGCCACGCACCCAGUGGGUACACAAUAAAUACAGGCCAGUAAAGAAGGAGGUGUGUGCCAGUGAGGGGGUUGGGAGGGGCAGGCAGCUGUGGGCAGCUGAGGCCACCGUCUGGCACCUGCCUGAGGGUGGCAGGCUGGGUUUCCUUUGCCGUGUGUGUGCAUGUGCGUGUCUGUGUGUGUGGGUCUGUGUGUGCAUGUAUGUAUCUGUGUGCGUGUGCAUGUCUGUGAAUGUGUAGCAUGCUAAUCGUGUGCAGGAGUCACAUAGGCUGUCACAGCGGGAGGGGACCUCAGAAUCAUUGAUUCAUCCACUCAUGGGUUCAUUCUUUCACUUCUCCAAUAAUAUUAAGUACCUUUAUGGGCCAGUACUGUGAGAUUCAGGCAUGAAUCAAGCAUGUCCCUGGCCUCUAGGAGAGGACCAUCCUGUUCUCUGGCGCCCAACUGACAGUAUAGAGUGGCACUGGAGACAUUUGCAUCCUACGCCCAGGAAUCUGGAUCCAGUAGGUCUGGGUCAGAGGCACCAACGGGAGUUUUUAAGGCUCCAUGGGCCACUCUGAUGGGCAGAGGCCAAUUGUCUCAUUUGAUUGGGGUGGUAUACUAGCGCCGUGCGGACGUGACUUGGCCCACAAAUGAUGCUUACAGGCUGAACCGCUGUGAGUGGGUUAUUUGACCUCACUGACCUGUAUCCUUAUUUCCAAAACCAGAAUAAAAGGCAGAGGUUUGUUUGCAUGC